rnacentral:rRNA from 1 species
UACGUAGGGUGCAAGCGUUAAUCGGAAUUACUGGGCGUAAAGCGUGCGCAGGCGGUUAUGUAAGGCAGUUGUGAAAUCCCCGGGCUCAACCUGGGAACUGCAUCUGUGACUGCAUAGCUAGAGUACGGUAGAGGGGGAUGGAAUUCCGCGUGUAGCAGUGAAAUGCGUAGAUAUGCGGAGGAACACCGAUGGCGAAGGCAAUCCCCUGGACCUGUACUGACGCUCAUGCACGAAAGCGUGGGGAGCGAACAGG